GAUGAACGCUAGCGGCAGGCCUAAUACAUGCAAGUCGAACGGGAUCCAGCUCAAAGCUUGCUUUGGUUUGGUGGGAGUCGCGCACGUAUGCGUAAAGCGUGCGCAACCUACCCUUGUCAUGGGGAUAGCCCGGCGAGAGUCGGAUUAAUACCGCGUGACAUCAUUGAGAUGCAUCUUUCGAUGAUCAAGCGUUUAUCGGACAAGGAUGGGCUCGCUGGCCAUUAGCUAGUUGGUAAGCUAACGGCGUACCAAGGCUACGAUGACUAGGGGCUCUGAGGGGAGAAUGCCCCAGACUGGUACUGAGACACGGACCAGACUCCUACGGGCGGCAGCCGUAAGGAAUAUUGGUGUAUGGAAGGAAGUCCGAAGCAGCGAUGCCGCGUGCAGGAAGGCGGCCCUAUGGGUUGUAAACUGCGUGUAGACGGGAACAAUCGUCGGUACGUGUACCGGUCUGAGGGUACCGUAAGAAGAAGGAUCGGCUAACUACGUG
rnacentral:rRNA from 1 species